rnacentral:rRNA from 1 species
UACGUAGGGUGCAAGCGUUGUCCGGAAUUAUUGGGCGUAAAGAGCUCGUAGGCGGCUUGUCGCGUCGGCUGUGAAAACCUGGGGCUCAACCCCGGGCCUGCAGCCGAUACGGGCAGCUAGAAUUCGGUAGGGGAGACUGGAAUUCCUGGUGUAGCGGUGAAAAUGCGCAGAUAUCAGGAGGAACACCGGUGGCGAAGGCGGGUCUCUGGGCCGAAAUUGACGCUGAGGAGCGAAAGCGUGGGGAGCGAACAGG